GACAGAGGGUGCAAACGUUGUUCGGAAUUACUGGGCGUAAAGCGCGUGUAGGCGGCUUGGCAAGUCGGGUGUGAAAGCCCUGGGCUCAACCUAGGAAGUGCACUCGAAACUGCCUCGCUGGAAUGCCGGAGAGGAAAGCGGAAUUCUCGGUGUAGAGGUGAAAUUCGUAGAUAUCGAGAGGAACACCGGUGGCGAAGGCGGCAUUCUGGACUGCAACUGACACUGAACGACGAAAGCCAGGGGAGCAAACGGG
rnacentral:rRNA from 1 species